UUUGCAUAUAAAUAACACGAAAUGGUCUGUGUAAAAUGGAAUUCCACAUUAGACAUUUGCUGGAUGGUAGACACCAGACAACUAAGGGAUGAAAAACAGUAAGUAGCUGCCUGCCGGAUCCACGCUGACUUCACUUGGGCUAUGACGCUCUGUGGUCUGAAGGUAAAGAUGGGGGCUGACGUGAUCUGGAGGGCACCAAGACGACUUCCUGGAGGUGGCAAUGCUUGAACAUAGCUCUGAGGAAUGUCAGGGUAAUCCAGAGAAAUACGGCUGGCCCUGGAGAAUGCUGUAUACAACCCGGGCACUGCUGCCGUAGGUUGGAUCAUCGGCAUCUGUGGCUGUCACCUGGA